AAGCUGCGGACUGUUCUUCGAACAGUGGUAGGAGAGCGUUCUAAGGGCUGUGAAGCAAGACCGGAAGGACUUGUGGAGCGCUUAGAAGUGAGAAUGCCGGUAUGAGUAGCGAAAGAGGGGUGAGAAGCCCCUCCACCGAAUGCCUAAGGUUUCCUGAGGAAGGCUCGUCCGCUCAGGGUUAGUCGGGACCUAAGCCGAGGCCGAAAGGCGUAGGCGAUGGAUAACAGGUUGAUAUUCCUGUACCACCUCCUCACCAUUUGAGCAAUGGGGGGACGCAGGAGGAUAGGGUAAGCGCGGUAUUGGAUAUCCGCGUCCAAGC
rnacentral:rRNA from 1 species